CCGUUGCCGCCGUACGCAGGCUCGCGGGCCCCUCCUCCCGCUCCCUGGAGGUCGUUCCUGUCGUUCCUCUGCCGAAAGCCCUUCGUUCCUACCUCUCACCGCCGCGGAGUGUUUGUGUGGAUUUGUAUAAAGGCUCUCCCACAGAAGACCUAUCCAAGGCAAUUCCUCGUUAGUAUAGUGCCCUGGAGUCAGCAGUCCUUGAGGUGAAAGGACCCGAGCACCUGCUUCUUACCUACCUAAAAAAGGAACGAGGGAAAUGGAAACCAGCUACUUUGAGAUUUGAGAGUAAAAGGCAGGACAGACUGACCAUCUGUCUUGAUGCUGACCCGGUCAGCAGAAACAUGGUUGUAAGUUUGUAUGGCAGUGACAUUAGACAGGAAACUAUAUUUAAUUUGCUGGCUUCUUAGAUGAAGAAUUAACACCACAUAAUAAACAAGUGCUUGGAACAAA